UUUCCGUAGGUGAACCUGCGGAAGGAUCAUUACUGAGUGAGGGCCCUCUGGGUCCAACCUCCCACCCGUGUUUAUUGUACCUUGUUGCUUCGGUGCGCCCGCCUCACGGCCGCCGGGGGGCUUCUGCCCCCGGGUCCGCGCGCACCGGAGACACCAUUGAACUCUGUCUGAAGAUUGCAGUCUGAGCAUAAACUAAAUAAGUUAAAACUUUCAACAACGGAUCUCUUGGUUCC
rnacentral:misc_RNA from 1 species